AAAAAUGUCUAAAGAACCAAAACAGAUUCAACGCAGUGACGGCAGAAAGUGUACGGGCAUGAAGAUUCAAAGAAAAAGAUGCGGCCGUUGAAAGAUUUAUAUGCUCCUUUGCUCCAGGAGAAAUCUCUUGAGACCUCACUCAGAGUGCACAUCCUUACCACAGUACAAGGCUAAUGAGCUUGGAUCGAUGGUGUUCUCAGCCCAGUGGACUGAAAACAAUAGAUUGAAGAUUUAUGGCAACCCUGUGACUAGCAACUCUAUUGAAACCAUUUCUCCAAUAGCAUGUGCUCACUUCAGGUCUUUGUAUCACAUUUUCAUAAUUCUCACAAUAUUUCAAAUUUAUUAUUAUUAUUAUUAUA
rnacentral:antisense_RNA from 1 species